UAAGUUAUCCAGGACAAAAUCUUCGCUGACCACCUCAUCUGUGAUGGAAGCAUCCUCAUUUAAUAUGUAUUCUGCAAACUUUUUUUUUGAACCUCCAGUCACAAAUGCUGGAAUCUGCUUUAUAAGGCAAUAGGAAAAAGACAGAAGCCAAAAUACAAGGAUUCUACUCAAGCCUUCUGGAAAGGACUGUGUUGCCUUUGAUGCAUGGAGCAAAGAAUUCUUAGAUUUUCCUGCCAGCCCCUGAAACCGGACCUGUGAUGUCAAGUUGGGUUUUGUUGUUGUUUGUUUUAACCUGCCAUGAGAUGGGUUGACAGGAUCAAUCAUUUUACACCAUGAUCCCUUGUCCCUGGGAGGACUGUCUGAGACAUUAGAGAAAUGGGAUACAGACUUCCUCACUGGGCUGGGGGAGCUGGCUCAGGUGCAGAGUACUUGCCACGAUAUGAAGAUCCACUUUUAAAAUAAAUCAAACAUAGUCAAGCAUA
rnacentral:lncRNA from 1 species